rnacentral:snRNA from 1 species
AGUUUAUUAAAGUUAUAUAACAG